UCGCUGUCGCUCGGCCGCCGCCCCAUGCCCAGCCCCAAGCCGGAGCGGGUGCGGCAGCUGGCGGCCAGCCGCACCGCCGGCCCGCCGCCUCCCGUCGUCAGAUGCUGUGGAGCACUGCCAGGGGUCCGAACAUCCACUGAAUCCUGCGACAGCGGAGUGACGUCAUGCGAUUCAACGGCCUCAUCGUCUUCCGGCCCGGCUGCGAGUGACGUCACACGCGCCAAGCUCAACGCCGCCGACAUCACGCGCGAAGGGGCGGGCGGUGUCGGCUGCGAGAGUCCUCUGUCGGCCACCUCUGAAAGCUCUAAUUCACCGAGGUCUAUGGCGACGCAGAAGCCGCGGUCCGGGGUCGAGUACCAGUGCCUGGACAGGGCCAGGCUGCUGGCUCAGCUGAGCGACCCCGGGACGCCGAUCCGGAGCGGCGGCGCGUUCAACGGAGCUGGAGCUGGCUCUGGAGCUGGUGCUGGCGCUGGAGCUGGAGCUGGAGCUGGCGCCGGAUAUUCGGUCGACAUCUAGUCCGGCGCUGUACCAGGGCGCGGCGCUGACCCGACCUAGGCCGACCCGGCGUUGGGCCGCCGCGCGCGCCGCUGUCUGAUCUGUCUUCUGCGCCGGUGUCUCAUCCGUCUCCGGAGUUGUUGUUUGAUCUGUCUUCGGCACUGACGUUUGAUCUGUCGUCUGCGGCGCCGCUGCCUGAUGCGUUUUGGGGCCGGUGCCUGAUCUGUCUUCGGCGCCGGUGUCUCAUCCGUCUUCGAAGCCACCGUCUGAUCUGUCUUCGGCGCCGGUGUCUUGAUCUGUCGUCUUGCGGUGCUGAGACGGCACAGCCGGCGCUUGAGACCGCAGCCUGUCCCGGCGAGUGCCCCUGCUGGCGGCCUGCCAGUCUCCAUAGACAGCGGUGUACUCAUCAUCUCCUUACUCGAGGCUGUUUUGUUUUCGCUGGGUUCGUGUCCCAGACAUGUGUUGCCCUGUGUUGCGCAGUGCUGUGUGCUUCUCCCUUCCGGUUAGUUUUUAUACUGUCAUUGGACACCGUCUAAGAGUGCCUGAAGCUCCUGCUACCCAACAAAAACCGCCUAAGGGCCACACACGCGGUAGAGAGAAGCGGCAGCCAACUGCCUGCCCCACCAUUGAUGCUGAACAUCUCCGCUAAUCGCGGUGACUUCUGCACAUCACGCCAAGCGUUGUUGGUAUACGUUGUAAAGGACUGUCUUCAGCUGCGCUGAAGCCGCCAGCCCGCUCAAAUGAUCUCAACCUCCGUCACUGCACGCGGUCGGCGUGUGCGUAUCAAAUCGUGAUCUUUAACCACGUGCAGAGCGAAGACAUUGCAACUGAUGAAACACACACGCACUGCCGACUGUUGUAUUUCCUGGGCCGCUUCGUACCCCAGUAUGCAGGCUGUAAUUUUUUUUUUUGGCGGACGUGGGGUCUGUCUCAGAUCGGCGAAAUGUUCCUGUUUUUCGUUUUGGUCCCGACUCAGAACCAGCACAUGCUAAUUCACGCAAGACCUGCCUCGGUCCGAAUGUUCUCUGCGCGUUUUGCAUCGCCUGCGAGAUUCGCGUGUCCCACCCGGACGCCGUCCGGUCGGCCGGCUUCGUCGGCGCCGCGAGCCCCUGGCCGCUCCUCUGCUGCGCCCGCGGGGCCAGCAGGUGAUCUCAUAUCGCGGCGCGGCGCUCGGGCUACGUCGGCUGCCGCGUCCUCGCUCCACCCGCGCUCCCGCCGGCCUGUCGCGUCGCGUAACGUCACGUCACGUCACGUCACCCACUGCCAGCGUCACGGGCGUCCCUUGGUCCGCCUACGUGUUUGUGUUUGCUAGCAGCGCGUAUGUGAUAACGAGCGAGCUUGGGCGUGUUUGUCUGCUUGUCUGCCGCGCUUGGUGUUGCUCCUUUCGAUGUACCUGUUUGUGCAUGGGGUCCCGUGACAGUGGCAGCAUGGCCCUGUCAGAUGGGGAUGGGGUCAGGGGUCCGCUGGCUCCUCUCCAUGUCAGAGUUAGACUCAAGUUCGUUCCUAUUCGGGGGUGGUGCGCAUUGAUCGCUGGGUCAGCUCGCCCGUGCUGCCAUCUGUGGGCGAUCUCGGCGGCUCCGAGGGCUGCACCUGGCAGAAGUCAACGCUCAACUGUUUUCAUUGUCACUUGGGUGAGUUGGCGAACGCAGACGUCCUUUGCCUACUGGCGGCUUAAUCCAGCCCGUUGGCGGGGUCGAUGUCGAUUUAAUUGCGCAGCAAGACGCUGUCGGUGCAUCUAGUAUCAGGGUAAUUUUUGCGCUAGUUGGAGACAAAUUUCUCCCUUAUUCGCGACCUUUAGAUCACAUAGAGCGAGCAGUUGUCUGAUGUUGACUGAACUCAUUGUUUGUCUGACUGUGACGGAUGCCCUUUUCGCUUGAUUACUAGCGUAGGUCGACAUUGGCGUCGCGACAUAUGGUACGCGACUCAUCCCAGAUGUGCCCUAUUUGCACGUCUCCCUGCCGCGCUACUGUAUUCUAACCCUGCUCAGCUCCUCCGUAUGUACGUAUUGUCAAGCCUUGGUUGGGUGAUCAUGCAAAACGUCACUGCAAUCAUGGCAGUGAGUGGACGCUGAAUGAUGCCAUACGCUGCUGUCGCCAUCUGUGGAUGUGCCAGAGCACUAGAAGUUCGCAGCUGCUCCAUGUAGUCGUUCGGAGUUAAGACGCACCAGUGGCGCGUCUCAAAACUCUCCAGUUUGUACUUUUGUACGACGCCGUUGGCGUCUAUUCGAAUAAACAGAGCACAAAGUAUGA